UCCAAUUCCUUUUCUAAAGAUUUUUUAAGUGUUGUUAAAUUUAAUGAUUUAGAAACCUCAAAUAAAAUGUGUGAUUAAUGCGCAUAUGAGAUAUCAUAAAUCUGUUUUUAAAGGCUUUGUUUAAGAGGCAAUUAAAAGGGGAGCUUUGAGCUUUAUGGGUCAUGAGAUGAAUAUGAAAACUUUGGGUUUUAUUUGUCCAGUUUUG
rnacentral:misc_RNA from 1 species